rnacentral:rRNA from 1 species
GAUGAACGCUGGCGGCGUGCUUAACACAUGCAAGUCGAACGAAGCACUUUAUUUGAUUUCCUUCGGGACUGAUUAUUUUGUGACUGAGUGGCGGACGGGUGAGUAACGCGUGGGUAACCUGCCUCAUACAGGGGGAUAACAGUUGGAAACGACUGGUAAAACCGCAUAAGCGCACGGUGUCGCAUGACACAGUGUGAAAACACUCCGGUGGUAUGAGAUGGACCCGCGUCUGAUUAGCUAGUUGGCGAGGUAACGGCCCACCAAGGCAACGAUCAGUAGCCGGCCUGAGAGGGUGAACGGCCACAUUGGGACUGAGACACGGCCCAAACUCCUACGGGAGGCAGCAGUGGGGAAUAUUGCACAAUGGGGGAAACCCUGAUGCAGCGACGCCGCGUGAGUGAUGAAGUAUUUCGGUAUGUAAAGCUCUAUCAGCAGGGAAGAUAAUGCACG